GACAGAGGGUGCAAGCGUUGUUCGGAAUUAUUGGGCGUAAAGAGCUCGUAGGCGGUUUGUCGCGUCGGCUGUGAAAUCCCGAGGCUCAACCUCGGGCCUGCAGUCGAUACGGGCAGACUUGAGUGUUGCAGGGGAGACUGGAAUUCCUGGUGUAGCGGUGAAAUGCGCAGAUAUCAGGAGGAACACCGGUGGCGAAGGCGGGUCUCUGGGCAACAACUGACGCUGAGGAGCGAAAGCGUGGGGAGCGAACAGG
rnacentral:rRNA from 1 species